rnacentral:lncRNA from 1 species
UCAAAUAUGAAUAACUGUAGCAGCCAUAACAAUGUGGGGAAUCUUAUUUGGUCGUAGCUCUAUCUGGAGAGUCAGUUUUUUAUUUAAAUCUUUUUUUGCGCCUUGCAUAUUUGAAUUCGAUUCUCAUUUUACUCUCGCUACUGUACGCUGAAACAACUAUUCUUAUUGUAUUCAUUUUAUUAUCCUGUGGCCAUAAAGUGUAAAACUGUACUUUUAAAAGUUAGUAGAAAGGCUUGAUAGUAUUUUAGAUACCAAGAAUAAAGAAUUUUCGGAGUGUU